UGCUACAGAAGUGAGAUUGUUCCUGGCUCAGUCGACCUAGCAAGGUAACAAAAAAGUUUGUUUGUUCCUCACUCGUGAGCAACCUGACCUGAACUAUGGGAUAAGCGCUGGAAACGGUGUCUAAUACUGGAUAUGAGGCGUGAUCGCAUGGUCAUGUUUGGAAAGAUUUUUCGGUCUGGGAUGGGCUCGCGGCCUAUCAGCUUGUUGGUGAGGUAAUGGCUCACCAAGGCGUCGACGGGUAGCCGGCCUGAGAGGGUGACCGGCCACACUGGGACUGAGACACGGCCCAGACUCCUACGGGAGGCAGCAGUGGGGAAUAUUGCACAAUGGGCGCAAGCCUGAUGCAGCAACGCCGCGUGAGGGAUGACGGCCUUCGGGUUGUAAACCUCUUUUAGCAGGGAAGAAGCGUGAGUGACGGUACCUGCAGAAAAAGCGCCGGCUAACUACGUGCCAGCAGCCGCGGUAAUACGUAGGGCGCAAGCGUUAUCCGGAAUUAUUGGGCGUAAAGAGCUCGUAGGCGGUUUGUCGCGUCUGCUGUGAAAUCCCGAGGCUCAACCUCGGGCCUGCAGUGGGUACGGGCAGACUAGAGUGCGGUAGGGGAGAUUGGAAUUCCUGGUGUAGCGGUGGAAUGCGCAGAUAUCAGGAGGAACACCGAUGGCGAAGGCAGAUCUCUGGGCCGUAACUGACGCUGAGGAGCGAAAGGGUGGGGAGCAAACAGGCUUAGAUACCCUGGUAGUCCACCCCGUAAACGUUGGGAACUAGUUGUGGGGACCAUUCCACGGUUUCCGUGACGCAGCUAACGCAUUAAGUUCCCCGCCUGGGGAGUACGGCCGCAAGGCUAAAACUCAAAGGAAUUGACGGGGACCGCACAAGCGGCGGAGCAUGCGGAUUAAUUUCGAUGCACGGCGAAGAACCUUACCNAGGCUUGACCAUACACCCAGAACACCGUAGCAAAUACGGGACUUCUUUGGACACUGG
rnacentral:rRNA from 1 species